rnacentral:ncRNA from 1 species
CAAAGGCUUGGUCCUGACUUUACUAUCAAUUUUAAUCAAAUUUACACAUGCAAGUAUCCGCAUUCCCGUGAAAAUACCCUACAGUUUUCUUCCUGAAAACAAGGAGAUGGUAUCAGGCACAAUAAUAAUAUUUAGCCCACAACAUCAUGUCAAGCCACACCCCCAAGGGAAUUCAGCAGUGAUAAACAUUAAGCCAUAAGUGAAAACUUGACUUAGUUAUGAUUAAUAGAGCCGGCCAAACUCGUGCCAGCCGCCGCGGUUAUACGAGGGACUCAAGUUGAUAGCCAUCGGCGUAAAGCGUGUUUAGAAGUUAACUAAAAUAAAGUGGAAUGCCUCCAUAACUGUUAUACGUAUCCGGAAGCAAGAACAACCCCUACGAAAGUGACUUUAAUUUACUCGAAUACACGAAAGCUGUGACACAAACUGGGAUUAGAUACCCCACUAUGCACAACCUUAAACUUUGUUAGACAAUUACAAUAUCUAAUCGCCAGGGCACUACGAGCAUAAGCUUAAAACCUAAAGGACUUGGCGGUGCUUUAGACCCACCUAGAGGAGCCUGUUCUAUAACCGAUAACCCCCGUUAAACCUCACCUUCUUUUGUCAUUUCCGCCUAUAUACCGCCGUCGUCAGCUUACCUUGUAAAGGAUUCUCAGUAAGCCAAAUCGAUAUUAUCCAAAACGCCAGGUCGAGGUGUAGCAUAUAAGAAGGAAAGAAAUGGGCUACAUUUUCUAAUUCAGAAAAAACGGAAAUUGCCAUGAAACAGCACAUUUAAGGAGGAUUUAGCAGUAAGCAGAGAAUAGAGAGCUCUACUGAAAACGGCCCUGAAGCGCGCACACACCGCCCGUCACUCUCCCUGAAUCACCUGUUAUUAAAUUCAUAAUACAACUUCUUGAACAAAAGGGAGGCAAGUCGUAACAUGGUAAGUAUACCGGAAGGUGUACUUGGUUAAAC